rnacentral:tRNA from 1 species
GCUGGGGUAGCUCAGUUGGUAGAGCACUUCCUUGGUAAGGAAGAGGUCAGGAGUUCAAGCCUCCUCCCCAGCU